rnacentral:rRNA from 1 species
UACGUAGGAUGCAAGCGUUGUCCGGAAUUAUUGGGCGUAAAGAGCGCGCAGGCGGUCUAUCAAGUCAGAUGUGAAAUAUCCCGGCUUAACCGGGAGGGGUCAUUUGAAACUGGUAGACUAGAGUACAGCAGAGGAUAGCGGAAUUCCCGGUGUAGUGGUGAAAUGCGUAGAUAUCGGGAGGAACACCAGCGGCGAAGGCGGCGCUCUGGGCCGGUACUGACACUGAGGAGCGAAAGCGUGGGUAGCAAACAGG